AGCAUGCGAGUGUGAGCGAAUCUCAAAAAUAAACGUCUCAGUUCGGAUUGUAGUCUGCAACUCGACUACAUGAAGCUGGAAUCGCUAGUAAUCGCGGAUCAGAAUGCCGCGGUGAAUACGUUCCCGGGUCUUGUACACACCGCCCGUCACACCAUGGGAGUCAGUAACGCCCGAAGCCGGUGACCCAACCUAAACAGGAGGGAGCCGUCGAAGGCGGGACGGAUGACUGGGGUGAAGUCGUAACAAGGUACC
rnacentral:rRNA from 1 species